GGCAUUUGGCUGCCUUCUGUCCCUCUCAGAACAAUACAGAGAUUAUCAUGGCCCCUACACAAGGAUGACAUGGAGAUUCAUGAAACAUUCCAUUUAAAA
ensembl:snRNA U6 U6 spliceosomal RNA